rnacentral:rRNA from 1 species
GGUUGAACGCUGGCGGAAUGCUUUACACAUGCAAGUCGAACGGCAGCACGGGAGCUUGCUCCUGGUGGCGAGUGGCGAACGGGUGAGUAACGCGUCGGAACGUACCGAGUAAUGGGGGAUAACGCAGCGAAAGCUGUGCUAAUACCGCAUACGCCCUGAGGGGGAAAGUGGGGGAUCGCAAGACCUCACGUUAUUCGAGCGGCCGACGUCUGAUUAGCUUGUUGGUGGGGUAAUGGCCUACCAAGGCGACGAUCAGUAGCGGGUCUGAGAGGAUGAUCCGCCACACUGGAACUGAGACACGGUCCAGACUCCUACGGGAGGCAGCAGUGGGGAAUUUUGGACAAUGGGGGCAACCCUGAUCCAGCCAUUCCGCGUGAGUGAAGAAGGCCUUCGGGUUGUAAAGCUCUUUCAGCUGGAACGAAACGGUACAUCCUAAUACGGUGUGCUAAUGACGGUACCAGCAGAAGAAGCACCGGCUAACUACGUGCCAGCAGCCGCGGUAAUACGUAGGGUGCGAGCGUUAAUCGGAAUUACUGGGCGUAAAGCGUGCGCAGGCGGAUUGUUAAGCAAGAUGUGAAAUCCCCGGGCUUAACCUGGGAAUGGCAUUUUGAACUNGCAGUCUAGAGUGUGUCAGNNNGGGGGUGGAAUUCCACGUGUAGCAGUGAAAUGCGUAGAGAUGUGGAGGAACACCAAUGGCGAAGGCAGCCCCCUGGGAUAACACUGACGCUCAUGUACGAAAGCGUGGGUAGCAAACAGGAUUAGAUACCCUGGUAGUCCACGCCCUAAACGAUGUCAACUGGUUGUUGGGAGGGUUCCUUCUCAGUAACGAAGCUAACGCGUGAAGUUGACCGCCUGGGGAGUACGGCCGCAAGGUUGAAACUCAAAGGAAUUGACGGGGACCCGCACAAGCGGUGGAUGAUGUGGUUUAAUUCGACGCAACGCGAAAAACCUUACCUACCCUUGACAUGUCUGGAAUCCCGAAGAGAUUUGGGAGUGCUCGAAAGAGAACCAGAACACAGGUGCUGCGUGGCCGUCGUCAGCUCGUGUCGUGAGAUGUUGGGUUAAGUCCCGCAACGAGCGCAACCCUUGUCAUUAGUUGCUACGUAAGGGCACUCUAAUGAGACUGCCGGUGACAAACCGGAGGAAGGUGGGGAUGACGUCAGGUCAUCAUGGCCCUUAUGGGUAGGGCUACACACGUCAUACAAUGGACGGUACAGAGGGCUGCCAACCCGCGAGGGGGAGCCAAUCCCAGAAAACCGUUCGUAGUCCGGAUCGCAGUCUGCAACUCGACUGCGUGAAGUCGGAAUCGCUAGUAAUCGCGGAUCAGCUUGCCGCGGUGAAUACGUUCCCGGGUC